UACGGAGGGAGCUAGCGUUGUUCGGAAUUACUGGGCGUAAAGCGCGCGUAGGCGGCUGUUCAAGUCAGAGGUGAAAGCCCGGGGCUCAACCCCGGAACUGCCUUUGAAACUAGAUAGCUAGAAUCUUGGAGAGGUCAGUGGAAUUCCGAGUGUAGAGGUGAAAUUCGUAGAUAUUCGGAAGAACACCAGUGGCGAAGGCGACUGACUGGACAAGUAUUGACGCUGAGGUGCGAAAGCGUGGGGAGCA
rnacentral:rRNA from 1 species